rnacentral:misc_RNA from 1 species
CUAAGCCAAAGCCAAAAACACUUUGAACGCUUUUUCUUUGUCGCUGAAUUUUCUUGUGUUUUCUUUUCAAUUUAAAGGUGCCGUAUACUCUUUUCCUACUUAAUUCUAUACUUUAUUUUUUUGAGUUCAAUUAUUGUCUGGCUCUGUGUUGACGAAAUGGCUUCUCUUAAUCUAACCUCUCAAUCUCAAUCUUUAUUUAACAAAACCCACCUCCA